CCUCUCUUCUUCCUAAAGCAAAACGGCGUCGGUAGCCUCAACCUUUCUCCGAUCAACAAGAUCCACAGCGCCGCCGUGAUGCCCUCAAGCGACGAACUUUGCGUGUCUCCGAUUAUCCUUCGCUUCGAAUCUACCGAAGAAAUCCGGAGCUUCUUCAAUCUCGGCAAGAGUACCGAUGACUUCGUCUGACCUUCUUCUAUUCAUUUCUCUACUUCUGAACCAUUGGCGUUACAAUAUGUUGAGGAGAUGACGUUGAAGAUAGAGUUAGAACCGCUAUGGCAGAUGAAGAUUGACGCGCGUGAAGAGCUAUUGCAGAGAGGUGAGGAUUGAUGACGACUCUCGAUUGAAGAAUGAAGAUGAUGUGUGAAGUUGUUGUAGUUAAUUCUGAAGGUUCGUGAUGGUGAGGACUGAAGAUUGUUGGUGAAUUGAAGGUGAUGAUUGUGCUCUGAGGAAGAUGAAGAUUGAUUUUCGGUCGGAGUCUGACGGUGCUUCAACGGCAACGAAAAAUGGAGAGAAAUUCAGAGAAUCUUCAGGUCCUAGUUUGGUUUUCUGUGGCAGAUUGGAAUGUUGGAUACAAGCUUACUUGUAGUAUCAAGGUUUGUGGCAUGAAUGGGGGUCUUAUAGUAGCUGCAUUUGGCUCUGUUUUGCAUUGGUGCAGGGCUGAUCUUGAAUGGAUGUACUUUUGCUUUGAAUUUGCUAGGCAGCUAGCACUGAGUAGCUAAGGGGUAUGGUGUUGUUUGGAUUUGUUGAUCUUGGUAAGGGAAUGUAGGCAUUUAUGAAGAGCUGGUGCAGGUUUUGACAUAUGGGUUGUUUGAAUAUUUGCGUGGUUAUGUAUGGAGCUGACCCACCUAUGGAUUGUGGCGGGUUCUUUUGGAA